AAGACUUUGCCGGAUUAGCUGAGAGGUGGUGCAUGGCCGUCGUCAGUUCGUACUGUGAAGCAUCCUGUUAAGUCAGGCAACGAGCGAGACCCACGCCCACAGUUGCCAGCGUACUCUCCGGAGUGACGGGUACACUGUGGGGACCGCCGCUGCUAAAGCGGAGGAAGGAAUGGGCAACGGUAGGUCAGUAUGCCCCGAAUAUCCCGGGCUACACGCGAGCUACAAUGGUUGGUACAAUGGGUAUCUACCCCGAAAGGGGACGGGAAUCCCUAAAACCAAUCUUAGUUCGGAUUGAGGGCUGCAACUCGCCCUCAUGAAGCUGGAAUCCGUAGUAAUCGCGUUUCAACAGAACGCGGUGAAUACGUCCCUGCUCCUU
rnacentral:rRNA from 1 species